AUGCUCUUUUUGGCAGCAUUUCCACUAAAACUGGAACCAUGCAGAGGUCAGCAUGGCCCCUGCAGAAAGAAGACAGCAAGUUUGUGAAGCAUUUUAUAUGAAA
ensembl:snRNA U6 U6 spliceosomal RNA